rnacentral:rRNA from 1 species
AUUGAACGCUGGCGGCAUGCUUUACACAUGCAAGUCGGACGGCAGCACAGAGAAGCUUGCUUCUUGGGUGGCGAGUGGCGCACGGGUGAGUAAUAUAUCGGAACGUACUGAGUAAUGGGGGAUAACUAAUCGAAAGAUUAGCUAAUACCGCAUAUUCUCUGAGGAGGAAAGCAGGGGACCUUCGGGCCUUGUGUUAUUCGAGCGGCCGAUAUCUGAUUAGCUAGUUGGUGGGGUAAAGGCCUACCAAGGCGACGAUCAGUAGCGGGUCUGAGAGGAUGAUCCGCCACACUGGGACUGAGACACGGCCCAGACUCCUACGGGAGGCAGCAGUGGGGAAUUUUGGACAAUGGGCGCAAGCCUGAUCCAGCCAUGCCGCGUGUCUGAAGAAGGCCUUCGGGUUGUAAAGGACUUUUGUCAGGGAAGAAAAGGCUGUUACUAAUAUCGACAGCUGAUGACGGUACCUGAAGAAUAAGCACCGGCUAACUACGUG